UGGGGAAUUUUGGACAAUGGGCGAAAGCCUGAUCCAGCAAUGCCGCGUGUGUGAAGAAGGCCUUCGGGUUGUAAAGCACUUUUGUCCGGAAAGAAAUCCUUGGCUCUAAUACAGUCGGGGGAUGACGGUACCGGAAGAAUAAGCACCGGCUAACUACGUGCCAGCAGCCGCGGUAAUACGUAGGGUGCAAGCGUUAAUCGGAAUUACUGGGCGUAAAGCGUGCGCAGGCGGUUUGCUAAGACCGAUGUGAAAUCCCCGGGCUCAACCUGGGAACUGCAUUGGUGACUGGCAGGCUAGAGUAUGGCAGAGGGGGGUAGAAUUCCACGUGUAGCAGUGAAAUGCGUAGAGAUGUGGAGGAAUACCGAUGGCGAAGGCAGCCCCCUGGGCCAAUACUGACGCUCAUGCACGAAAGCGUGGGGAGCAAACAGGAUUAGAUACCCUGGUAGUCCACGCCCUAAACGAUGUCAACUAGUUGUUGGGGAUUCAUUUCCUAGUAACGUAGCUAACGCGUGAAGUUGACCGCCUGGGGAGUACGGUCGCAAGAUUAAACUCAAAGGAAUUGACGGGGUCAUAGCUG
rnacentral:rRNA from 1 species